AUUGAACGCUGGCGGAAUGCUUUACACAUGCAAGUCGAACGGCAGCACGGACUUCGGUCUGGUGGCGAGUGGCGAACGGGUGAGUAAUACAUCGGAACGUGCCCAAUCGUGGGGGAUAACGUAGCGAAAGCUACGCUAAUACCGCAUACGAUCUAAGGAUGAAAGCGGGGGAUCGCAAGACCUCGCGCGAUUGGAGCGGCCGAUGGCAGAUUAGGUAGUUGGUAGGGUAAAGGCCUACCAAGCCGACGAUCUGUAGCUGGUCUGAGAGGAUGAUCAGCCACACUUGGACUGAGACACGGCCCAGACUCCUACGGGAGGCAGCAGUUGGGAAUUUUGGACAAUGGGCGAAAGCCUGAUUCAGCCAUUCCGCGUGCAGGAUGAAGGCCCUCGGGUUGUAAACUGCUUUUGUACAGAACGAAAAGGUUUCUACUAAUACUAGGAGCUCAUGACGGUACUGUAAGAAUAAGCACCGGCUAACUACGUGCCAGCCGCCGCGGUAA
rnacentral:rRNA from 1 species